rnacentral:lncRNA from 10 species
AUGUGCAAAGAAUCUGAAGAAUUCACCUGAAAAGGAUACAACCUCCUCCUGGAAGGCAGAGGAGUAAAUAGGGAAUUGGAAAUUAAUUCCUUAUUUCUGCACAUGCACAGAAUCUGGGCCCAGGUGACUUAUGGAACCUUUAUAGAGACCACGGUGACUGACACUCAUGGGAAAGGGGGUAGAGGGGCAAGAACUGACUGUUCAUCAAAAAUUAUUAGAUGAGUGUGUCCACGACACCAGGAGAUAUGUUGAAUCAUGGACAGGGACCAGCAUAUCCACUAAGCUCUAUAUAUCUUGAUGGUGCAGGAUCCAAGUGGGAUGGAACAACCAAUUCCUGCCCAUCCUCCUGCUCAAUAAUACAUGUGCUCAGAAUCUGUUCAUAAUGCAUGGUGGACUCUAGCCCUGAUCUGCUCUCUUCUGGGAGCAUCUGAUAGAACAAACAGAAACCCCUCUCCCACUGUUCUCCUGUGUCCAGAGUGGGAGGCAUAACUGCUUUGCCUCCAGUCAUCAUCUGGGGGCAUAUCUACUCUUCGAGGACCAGGGGUUCGGGACCCUGGAACAGGAUCUGAAUUCCAAGCUGACCUCAGGGGUACAUGAAGACUGCUAGAUGAGACGGGAUCUCACUGUGUUGCCCAGGCUGGUCUCGAACUGCUG